rnacentral:snoRNA from 1 species
AAGACUAUACUUUCGGGGAUCAUUUCUAUACUUCGUUACUUGAGAAGCUUCUCGGAAUGUGUAGAGCACUGGAAACCAGGAGGAGGAGGUGCAGCGUCCUCUCCUGAGUGUGAAGCCGGCUCUUGGUGUUGCUUCGCUGCAACUGCCAUUUGCCAUUGGUGAUCGUUUUUCUCUCCUUUCCGGGGAGUGAGAGUAGGAGAGGACACAGUCUGAGUGGU